rnacentral:rRNA from 2 species
UCGCGGACAGUGCCUGGUGGGUAGUUUGACUGGGGCGGUCUCCUCCCAAAGAGUAACGGAGGAGCACGAAGGUUGGCUAAUCCUGGUCGGACAUCAGGAGGUUAGUGCAAUGGCAUAAGCCAGCUUAACUGCGAGACGGACAGGUCGAGCAGGUACGAAAGUAGGUCAUAGUGAUCCGGUGGUUCUGAAUGGAAGGGCCAUCGCUCAACGGAUAAAAGGUACUCCGGGGAUAACAGGCUGAUACCGCCCAAGAGUUCAUAUCGACGGCGGUGUUUGGCACCUCGAUGUCGGCUCAUCACAUCCUGGGGCUGAAGUCGGUCCCAAGGGUAUGGCUGUUCGCCAUUUAAAGUGGUACGCGAGCUGGGUUCAGAACGUCGUGAGACAGUUCGGUCCCUAUCUGCCGUGGGCGUUGGAUGAUUGAAGGGAGUUGCUCCUAGUACGAGAGGACCGGAGUGAACGAACCUCUGGUGUUCGGGUUGUCACGCCAGUGGCACUGCCCGGUAGCUAAGUUCGGAAUCGAUAACCGCUGAAAGCAUCUAAGCGGGAAGCGAGCCCUGAGAUGAGUCAUCCCUGACCCCUUGAGGGUCCUAAAGGGCCGUUGGAGACCACAACGUUGAUAGG